AUGCACAAACCAUGGCUGCAGAUCUGUUUCCGUUUCCCUUCUUCGGGUGCAAAGAAGUCCUGUGAAGUUGUUUUCUCGGUUCUGCGUGAUAUCCUUGCUGCAAAAGAUAUCCUUGCUAGAAAUGCAAUCAAUUUCUAUAAGAUUAACUUUUCUAACAGUGUUGUUAGUACACAUAAUAUUUUACCCCUAAAUGUGAUUGAUGAGUUAGAGAGUGAUGUUUCAUUUGUUCGGAUAAUUGGGUUGAUAAUUCAGGACUGCAAAGAUGCCGCGUAA